rnacentral:rRNA from 1 species
GACGAACGCUGGCGGCGUGCUUAACACAUGCAAGUCGAACGGUAAGGCCCUUCGGGGUACACGAGUGGCGAACGGGUGAGUAACACGUGGGUGAUCUGCCCUGCACUUCGGGAUAAGCCUGGGAAACUGGGUCUAAUACCGGAUAGGACCACUGCCUGCAUGGGUGGUGGUGGAAAGCUUUUGCGGUGUGGGAUGGGCCCGCGGCCUAUCAGCUUGUUGGUGGGGUGAUGGCCUACCAAGGCGACGACGGGUAGCCGGCCUGAGAGGGUGACCGGUCAGACGGGGGCGGGGGUACGGGCCAGCCUGCUGGGGGAGGCAGCAGGGGGGACUCUUGCUCUAGGGGCGCAAGCCUGAGGCAGCGACGCCGCAUGAGGGAUGCCGGGCCUCGGGUUGGAAGCCGCUUUCAGCACCGACGUUGCGCAAGUGGCGGUAGGUCCAGCAGAAGGACUUGCUAACUACCUGCCAGCCGCCGCGGUAA